rnacentral:rRNA from 1 species
UACGUAGGGCGCAAGCGUUGUCCGGAAUUAUUGGGCGUAAAGAGCUCGUAGGUGGCUUGUCACGUCGGGUGUGAAAGCUUGGGGCUUAACUCCAGGUCUGCAUUCGAUACGGGCUGGCUAGAGGUAGGUAGGGGAGAACGGAAUUCCUGGUGUAGCGGUGAAAUGCGCAGAUAUCAGGAGGAACACCGGUGGCGAAGGCGGUUCUCUGGGCCUUACCUGACACUGAGGAGCGAAAGCGUGGGGAGCGAACAGG